UCCCUGAGUUCAGGACGUCUCUCCACAGAUAAUCUGUCUCCUGCUCAGUGGUCGGCUCUGGUCUUCAUCUUACUGUCAUCAGAUCUGGAUGAGUUCGACCUGCAGAAAUACUCCUGUUCAGAGAAGGCAUUUUUGAAGCUGCUGCCAGUGGUCAAAGCAUCCAAGAAAGUGCUGCUGAGACGUUGUAAACUCUCAAGAAGAAGCUUUGAAGCUUUGUCUGAAAUUCUCAGCUCCUCAUCCAAUCAUCUGAGAGAGCUGGACCUGAGCUUCAAGAAGCUGCAGGAUUCAGAAUUGGAUUUGCUGUGUGUUGGACUAAAGAGUCCUGACUGUAAACUUGAAACUCUCGGAUUGAGGGGCUGUGGUUUGUCAGAGAUCAGCUGUGAUUAUCUGGCAGCAGCGCUGAA